AAGAAGAAGAAAAAAAAAAGACUUUGAACUAAAGCAAGAGA
rnacentral:sRNA from 1 species